GAACCGUACAAACGUUAUUCGGAAUCACUGGGCUUAAAGGGUGCGUAGGCGGCCAGGUAAGUUGGGUGUGAAAUCCCUCGGCUCAACCGAGGAACUGCGCCCAAAACUACUUGGCUUGAGGGAGAUAGAGGUGAGCGGAACUUAGGGUGGAGCGGUGAAAUGCGUUGAUAUCCUAAGGAACACCGGUGGCGAAAGCGGCUCACUGGAUCUCUUCUGACGCUGAGGCACGAAAGCUAGGGUAGCGAACGGGAUUAGAUACCCCGGGUAGUCCUAGCUGUAAACGAUGAGCACUGGGUUGGAGGCCCCCCCCCGAUAGGCUUCCGGCCGAAGCGAAAGUGUUAAGUGCUCCGCCUGGGGAGUAUGGUCGCAAGGCUG
rnacentral:rRNA from 1 species